rnacentral:rRNA from 1 species
AUGAACGCUAGCUACAGGCUUAACACAUGCAAGUCGAGGGGCAGCAUGGUCUUAGCUUGCUAAGGCCGAUGGCGACCGGCGCACGGGUGAGUAACACGUAUCCAACCUGCCGUCUACUCUUGGACAGCCUUCUGAAAGGAAGAUUAAUACAAGAUGGCAUCAUGAGUCCGCAUGUUCACAUGAUUAAAGGUAUUCCGGUAGACGAUGGGGAUGCGUUCCAUUAGAUAGUAGGCGGGGUAACGGCCCACCUAGUCUUCGAUGGAUAGGGGUUCUGAGAGGAAGGUCCCCCACAUUGGAACUGAGACACGGUCCAAACUCCUACGGGAGGCAGCAGUGAGGAAUAUUGGUCAAUGGGCGAGAGCCUGAACCAGCCAAGUAGCGUGAAGGAUGACUGCCCUAUGGGUUGUAAACUUCUUUUAUAAAGGAAUAAAGUCGGGUAUGCAUACCCGUUUGCAUGUACUUUAUGAAUAAGGAUCGGCUAACUCCGUGCCAGCAGCCGCGGUAAUACGGAGGAUCCGAGCGUUAUCCGGAUUUAUUGGGUUUAAAGGGAGCGUAGAUGGAUGUUUAAGUCAGUUGUGAAAGUUUGCGGCUCAACCGUAAAAUUGCAGUUGAUACUGGAUAUCUUGAGUGCAGUUGAGGCAGGCGGAAUUCGUGGUGUAGCGGUGAAAUGCUUAGAUAUCACGAAGAACUCCGAUUGCGAAGGCAGCCUGCUAAGCUGCAACUGACAUUGAGGCUCGAAAGUGUGGGUAUCAAACAGGAUUAGAUACCCUGGUAGUCCACACGGUAAACGAUGAAUACUCGCUGUUUGCGAUAUACAGCAAGCGGCCAAGCGAAAGCGUUAAGUAUUCCACCUGGGGAGUACGCCGGCAACGGUGAAACUCAAAGGAAUUGACGGGGGCCCGCACAAGCGGAGGAACAUGUGGUUUAAUUCGAUGAUACGCGAGGAACCUUACCCGGGCUUAAAUUGCAGAUGAAUUACGGUGAAAGCCGUAAGCCGCAAGGCAUCUGUGAAGGUGCUACAUGGUUGUCGUCAGCUCGUGCCGUGAGGUGUCGGCUUAAGUGCCAUAACGAGCGCAACCCUUGUUGUCAGUUACUAACAGGUCAUGCUGAGGACUCUGACAAGACUGCCAUCGUAAGAUGUGAGGAAGGUGGGGAUGACGUCAAAUCAGCACGGCCCUUACGUCCGGGGCUACACACGUGUUACAAUGGGGGGUACAGAGGGCCGCUACCACGCGAGUGGAUGCCAAUCCCAAAAACCUCUCUCAGUUCGGACUGGAGUCUGCAACCCGACUCCACGAAGCUGGAUUCGCUAGUAAUCGCGCAUCAGCCACGGCGCGGUGAAUACGUUCCCGGGCCUUGUACACACCGCCCGUCAAGCCAUGGGAGCCGGGGGUACCUGAAGUGCGUAACCGCGAGGAGCGCCCUAGGGUAAAACUGGUGACUGGGGCU